UACGUAGGGUGCGAGCGUUGUCCGGAAUUACUGGGCGUAAAGAGCUCGUAGGUGGUUUGUCGCGUUGUUCGUGAAAUCCCACGGCUUAACUGUGGGCGUGCGGGCGAUACGGGCAGACUGGAGUACUGCAGGGGAGACUGGAAUUCCUGGUGUAGCGGUGGAAUGCGCAGAUAUCAGGAGGAACACCGGUGGCGAAGGCGGCAUCCUGGACCAAUUCUGACGCUGAGUGAGCGAAAGCCAGGGAGCAAACGGG
rnacentral:rRNA from 1 species